rnacentral:rRNA from 1 species
UCUAGCGACAAUAGCGUUGUGGAACCACCUGAUCCCAUGCCGAACUCAGAAGUGAAACGCAAUAGCGCCGAUGGUAGUGUGGGAGUUCCCAUGUGAGAGUAGGUCAUCGCUAGGC